UCCAUUUGCUAUCGUGUUCAUCUCUCAGCCUAUCCACGCCUCCUCCUUAUUGCUAAACUAGGGUUUUUUUCCUUUACAUCUAUUCUUCCUAACCCUAAUCUCAUUUCCCCCAAAGGUGAAGGAGAAGAACAGCGUAGCAUUUCGCUCAGCAAGCAUUUCGCUCAACCACCUCUUCUUCUUCCACAAGCAUUAGAUCGAGUCGGAGCCCUAAUCCUAAGCAGGCAGCCGCUUAACAUUUUCCAAAAUCACCGCAAUUACGCAUCGCUCACAUGGCUCGUGCUUUAUCCAGAUCCGCUCGUCAGUGAGAGAGACAUUGUAGAGCACAAAGAAGGAUUAUGCCAAAACAGAAGACGAUUUGAAGUCCCUUCAAAGCGUUGGACAGAUCAUAGGCGAGGUGCUAAGACCUCUGGAUAGUGAACGAUUGAUAGUCAAAGCCAGUAGUGGCCCAAGGUACGUGGUCGGAUGGCGCAGUAAAGUGGACAAAGAAAAACUAACUGCUGGAACUCGAGUGGUUCUCGACAUGACAACUCUGACAAUCAUGCGAGCACUCCCUCGUGAAGUUGACCCAGUUCUUUGCUUCACGAAGACCCCGACAAUGUUAGCGAAAGAAGUUGGUGGGCUAUCGGAUCAGAUUCGAGAUCUCCGGGAAUCCAUUGAGUUGCCUUUGAUGAAUCCGGAGCUCUUUAUAAAGGUCGGCAUUAAACCACCUAAGGGUGUUCUUCUUUAUGGACCUCCUGGUACGGGCGAGUGGAUGCUAGCUAGAGCAAUUGCCAGUAAUAUAGAUGCCAAUUUCUUAAAGGUCUUUAUGCUAACAAGAUCUCUAUGCUAAGCGUUUCUGUGGGCUUUGGGGUUAGUUUUUAUUUUACUCUUGGUGAUUCAUUUUUAAGUACCUUCUUUUAUAUACAACGAUUUUACACCAUAAUCUUUAAAAGAGGCUGAAAAAAGGGCUUCGCUCGUAAAGUUGACUACAUAUAUGUAUAUGCAUCUGAUCUUGUAACAGCUGUUCGCAAAGCUUCCGGAACAAUAGAAAAGCCGUUGGAAGGAUGUCAUAUAGUUGUGGAUGCUGGAAAUGGAGCUGGUGGUUUUUUUUGCUGUAAGGGUUUUUUUAAAUCUUAAAACACGAGUUGUGUGUCUGUUAGUAGGAAUGUUGUUAUUAAGUUGGUUGUUUUCUACCUUAAAUAAUUACACAAAGAUAUCAGUUUGACCGGUUGACAAAUUUUGAGUAAUUUCAUAUUUGUUUAACUUUCUUGAAAUA